GACCGCAUGGCCUAAUGGCAUCUGACUUUGAAUCAGAAGAUUGAGGGUUUAAGUCCCUUUGUGAUUG
rnacentral:tRNA from 1 species